ensembl:lncRNA
CGGGAACCUUGUUUUUACAUAUCUAGUCCCGUCUUCGAUGCUUGUACCGGGAUAUUGCCUCCUUUUUAUUUUUGAUAUGGGUGUUACUCCCCAUCCCGUCAGCUUUUGGAUGAUGACUUCAUCGUCCAGGUAAACAGGAUUCUUCCUUCCCCGAUUUUCUACGCCACCGUUUUUAUGAUGUCCGCCGCUCUGGCUUCCUACACAUUCCCCAGAUCCACCGUCACGGUUGCCUCCUUCAUAUAAAUUCUCUUCCCGCCUUCCUUUUUUUCCAGCUUCCCUUUUCCGUCAUCAUCGUCGUUGGUCGUUGUUCCAUUCCGAGUUCUUUUCCACGCCGUAUUUCGUCCGCCAUUGCCGUAUUCGUCGUUCUUAAGCCGUCCUUUUUUAUACCAACAAAGAAAACACACAAAAAAAACAAAGAAAGGACGCAAACUAAGCUCGGAAAGCUCCUCCCAAACAGCCUGCGCUGCCGGGAGGAACAAAUAAACAAACAAACAAACAAACAAAAAACACUAAUGAAAAUAAUUAGGUAUUUAACCACAAAAAAAUAAGCACAAAGAUUUCGGUGAGCCUCUCUCACCAACUGCAGCCAACUCACUACUACACAGGUGCUAC